rnacentral:rRNA from 1 species
AUUGAACGCUGGCGGCAUGCCUUACACAUGCAAGUCGAACGGUAACGCGGGGUAACCUGGCGACGAGUGGCGAACGGGUGAGUAAUGCAUCGGAACGUGCCCAGUAGUGGGGGAUAGCCCGGCGAAAGCCGGAUUAAUACCGCAUACGACCUACGGGUGAAAGCGGGGGAUCGCAAGACCUCGCGCUAUUGGAGCGGCCGACGUCAGAUUAGGUAGUUGGUGGGGUAAAAGCCUACCAAGCCUACGAUCUGUAGCUGGUCUGAGAGGACGACCAGCCACACUGGGACUGGGACACGGCCCAGACUCCUACGGGAGGCAGCAGUGGGGAAUUUUGGACAAUGGGCGCAAGCCUGAUCCAGCCAUGCCGCGUGCGGGAAGAAGGCCUUCGGGUUGUAAAGCUCUUUCGGCCGGGAAGAAAUCGUAUGGGUUAAUACCCUGUGCGGAUGACGGUACCGGCAUAAGAAGCACCGGCUAACUACGUGCCAGCAGCCGCCGUAACAC